rnacentral:rRNA from 1 species
AGUGAACGCUGGCGGCAUGCCUAACACAUGCAAGUCGAACGGCAGCACGAUAAGCCUUUGUCCCUACGGGUGGCGUGGGGCGGGUGGGUGACACAUAGAUCAGCAUCCACUUUUUCGGGGGUGACUUCGUAGAACCAGUUCCGAUAACAGCACAUACUAUGAACGGGAGAGUUCAGGAGAGCAAGGCACCCUGCCCGAUUGUAAGAGCCGGUGUCGGAUUAGCUAGUUGGUGUGGUAAGGGCACACCAAGGCGACGAUCCGUAGCUGGUCUGAGAGGAUGAUCAGCCACACUGGAACUGAGACACGGUCCAGACUCCUACGGGAGGCAGCAGUGGGGAAUAUUGGACAAUGGGCGAAAGCCUGAUCCAGCAAUGCCGCGUGGGUGAAGAAGGCCUUCGGGUUGUAAAGCUCUUUUGUUGGGAAAGAAAAGCAGCGGGUUAAUACCUGGCUAUUCUGACGGUACCCAAAGAAUAAGCACCGGCUAACUACGUG